GCAGCCCUAGAAACUGUAUAAAAGGGCUCGUGGCUCAGAACUCUGCUAAACGCUUCUCUGGACUUCAUCUCCUCGGUGAUCUCGGUUUCCCUCCAUCACACAAAGAUGUCUUGCUAUCCAGAAUGCGGGGUGGCCCGACCCAGCCCAGUUUCCGGCACCUUCAACGAGCCGUGCGUGAGGCAGUGCCCUGACUCCCAAGUGCUGAUCAGACCCUCACCGAUUGCCAUGACCAUCCCAGGGCCCAUUAUGAGCACCUUCCCUCAGCACAGCGAAGUGGGAGCUGUUGGAGCCCCCUUCGUGGGAUCCGGCUACGGGGGCUCCUUUGGAGCUGGAGGACUGUUCGGCUCUGGAGCUGGUUACGGGGGAUUGUUUGGCUUGGGAGGAUCAGGUGGUUAUGGGGGACUCUGUGGUUAUGGAGGUCGUUAUGGUUAUGGGGGAGGUUAUGGCACUGGGGUAUCUUGUCAUAGGUACCUGAGUGCAUGCGGCUCACCAUGUUAGACAGGGCACGAAUCUCUAUGGCCAAAGGAAAGACCAGGAAAUGAAUAGCAACCGAUCGAUUACAAUAUCAAUUUCAGAAGGGCCGUGCCAGCCUGGCUCCAGCUGAGCUCCACGCGAGCUGUAUCUGCCCAGCCCCUUUCUCUCAUGGACCCAUUUAUAAUGUCUUGCUAGGAACUCUUUCUGCCAAUUCUUUCCCCACCACAUGCUUCUUCUCUUUUGCUCAUUUGGACUCCCUCUGAAUUACAUUCACCGUGUUUGUACGAAUCACGCAGUGGGAAGGGAACAGGGGUCUUCAGAAAGGCAUCAGUUGCAUAUGUGUUGUGUUCUCAAAACUUGUAGCUCCAACAAAGGAAAAAGAACUUCCCACAUCCAAUGCGUCUGACGGAAGGGGGUGAUGGUUCAUAGCCAGUAUUAAUGUAUUAAUACACUAGGAAUCCUUUUUUCCUGCUUUGUAAUUGUGUAUUGCAAAUUUCAUUCACAUUAAAACCUCUGCUGCAUCAGAA